rnacentral:rRNA from 1 species
GAUGAACGCUGGCGGCGUGCCUAAUACAUGCAAGUCGAGCGAACAGAUGAGGAGCUUGCUCCUCUGACGUUAGCGGCGGACGGGUGAGUAACACGUGGAUAACCUACCUAUAAGACUGGGAUAACUUCGGGUAACCGGAGCUAAUACCGGAUAAUAUAUUGAACCGCAUGGUUCAAUAGUGAAAGACGGUUUUGCUGUCACUUAUAGAUGGAUCCGCGCCGCAUUAGCUAGUUGGUAAGGUAACGGCUUACCAAGGCAACGAUGCGUAGCCGACCUGAGAGGGGGAUCGGCUACACUGGAACUGAGACACGGUCCAGACCCCUACGGGAGGCAGCAGUAGGGAAUCUUCCGCAAUGGGCGAAAGCCUGACGGAGCAACGCCGCGUGAGUGAUGAAGGUCUUCGGAUCGUAAAACUCUGUUAUUAGGGAAGAACAAAUGUGUAAGUAACUAUGCACGUCUUGACGGUACCUAAUCAGAAAGCCACGGCUAACUACGU